CACUCCUGCGGGAGGCAGCAGUGGGGAAUAUUGCACAAUGGGCGCAAGCCUGAUGCAGCCAUGCCGCGUGUAUGAAGAAGGCCUUCGGGUUGUAAAGUACUUUCAGCGGGGAGGAAGGCGAUAAGGUUAAUAACCUUGUUGAUUGACGUUACCCGCAGAAGAAGCACCGGCUAACUCCGUGCCAGCAGCCGCGGUAAUACGGAGGGUGCAAGCGUUAAUCGGAAUUACUGGGCGUAAAGCGCACGCAGGCGGUCUGUCAAGUCGGAUGUGAAAUCCCCGGGCUCAACCUGGGAACUGCAUUCGAAACUGGCAGGCUAGAGUCUUGUAGAGGGGGGUAGAAUUCCAGGUGUAGCGGUGAAAUGCGUAGAGAUCUGGAGGAAUACCGGUGGCGAAGGCGGCCCCCUGGACAAAGACUGACGCUCAGGUGCGAAAGCGUGGGGAGCAAACAGGAUUAGAAACCCUGGUAGUCCCAUG
rnacentral:rRNA from 1 species